rnacentral:rRNA from 1 species
CCUACGGGUGGCUGCAGUGAGGAAUAUUGGUCAAUGGGCGGGAGCCUGAACCAGCCAAGUCGCGUGAGGGACGAAGGUACUGAGUAUUGUAAACCUCUUUUGCCAGGGGACAAAGGCGGCCACGGGUGGCCGUAAGAGGGUACCUGGAGAAAAAGCAUCGGCUAACUCCGUGCCAGCAGCCGCGGUAAUACGGAAGGUCCGGGCGUUAUCCGGAUUUAUUGGGUUUAAAGGGAGCGUAGGCGGCAUGUCAAGGGAGCUGUGAAAGGUCCGGGCUCAACCCGGGCAUUGCAGCGCGAACUGGCGUGCUUGAGUCCGCGGAAAGCAGGCGGAAUUCGUGGUGUAGCGGUGAAAGGCGUAGAUAGGACGAAGAACCCCGAUUGCGAAGGCAGCUUGCUGCAGCGGAACUGACGCUGAUGCUCGAAAGCGCGGGUAUCGAACAGGAUUAGAUACCCUAGUAGUC